UGAGGAUAACCCAUGGAUCCCAGCUACUGACUGUCAGUGAUGCGGCAUGAAGCUGAGU
rnacentral:snoRNA from 1 species